GGGCAGGUGCCCGAGUGGUUAAAGGGGAUGGACUGUAAAUCCAUUGGCUGAUGCCUACGGUGGUUCGAAACCACCUCUGCCCA
rnacentral:tRNA from 1 species